ensembl:lncRNA
GCCGGACUAGCGCACCGCACGGAAAGGGAGGAGGCAAGUGAUGUUGGCUUUCUAAGGCUACAGGGCCUGUCCGGUGUUUAUGGCAGGAAGUGAAGGGUCUUGCUCAGAAGCCUUCCAGAACUUUCCCAGGCUAAGUCACAGAUUUUGUUAUGCGUAUAAAGUCAACGCUAUUCCACGCUAUAAAAAAGCAAAUUCCCACGCACCUGCUGAUGGAGGUGUUUCUUCAUGGAGAAGUUUCUUCCAGUCCCAGCAUGUUUCUGUUGGUUACAAAUGCCUGCCGUUUAUAGACUUUUCCAGAACAUUCCCUACUUAGAACUUUCUUCUUAGUGUUACAGGGAAAUCUGACUGUGAUUUCUCUGGCCCUAGUUUACAGAAGAAUGCAAGACUCCACGGGUUUUAAAGUGAGGAAAAUGGGAAGAAGGGAGUUUUAUCUUCAAGUCCUUUUAUCAGGACUUUUAUCUUCAAGUCCUGGGAUUGAUGUUGCUUUGGAAUUUCUGCACUGCCUGCUCUUUAGAGGAGAGACUUGCUUUCCUGGGAAGUUACCCAAUCGAAAGCUAACCUAAGGGUUCUCCUGUGCACUGUGGGAUGUUUAGCAGCAGCUCUGUCCUCUGCCAACUAGAUCCAGUAGCACUGCCUUUCCUGCAGCUGCAACAACCAAAAGUGUCCCCAGGCAUUGCCAGUUGUUCCUGGAGUUAAGAACGGCUGAUCUGCACUGACGGUAAAUCUGGAAGUUACUAGCUUGUGAAUCAAAUGCUGAUUUGAUGAUUUGAUGAGAUUUACUGAAGGCAUUGAAGAGCCCAUUUCUGGCCAGAGAUUCACGAGGUGCUACGUAGAUCCUACUGGUUCUGGUUGCUGAGUUCUCUAGCAUCAUCCGAGGGCAUUUGCCUGUCUAAUUCCUGGCCCAUCCUCAGGUGCUCCUGGAAGACUCCGACCUAGAUGAAAAAGUGGCCUGGCUGUUGGGCCAGAAGCCCUCUCUGUCGUUGAGGUUCACUCCCAGUGGCCGGAAAUGCCACCGAGAGAUGCGCGCUGCGUGGGGGUUCUGAACGAUCGGCUUCAGCACCCGGCCCAGGUGGACAGCGACGAGCGCAGCAGCCCGCCUCACCCUCCCUGCGCGGCCACUGCGCGCGCCUCGCCUCUGACCCCUGCCAGCAGCGUGCCCAGCGCCACGUCCAGCGCCAGCACCUCGGCG